UCCUGUUAUUUACUCACGACAAGUGUUAAAUACUGGAAGAAGGCUACCAGUUCCCUAUUUUAACCUAUUUACAUGAUAUAUUCAGUGCUUUUUAUAAUAAUAAUAUACCCAAUCCUAUCAUGAAACUCCAAAACUCCUUUUGAAUUUUACGCCAUCAGCUAUAAAAAUGCGUCAUUAGCUACGAUAGCCAAUGGUGCUGAAAUUAGCACGGAAAAUUAACGGCGCAAGCGCGGUUGCUCUUAUUGGCUAAAAUCCUUUGACGUAACAUGAUUACACCCAAUGAGAUCUCUCAACACGAUGGCUGUCUAUACAGCGCCAUCAGCGUCUUCUCGCGCAGAGAAUAAACACUAAAAACCCUUAGUCCUCCCCUGCUAUUGAUGCAGAGUGCGUAGUACCGGCAACCCGUACGUUAACCUACAAACUUAACAUGUGACGCAAUUAAAAUUCGGACUCCUAAAACAGGUAACUAAUCAUGCAAGACAACAACGAUGGGUCUUAAAAUCUAGGCGAGAUGAAAAAAAAUUGCUCUAGUGAAAAGAUAGACAGUAUAUCACAUGGAUAUCAUCGCAAUUUAUAAAAACACGAGAUGCAACUAAUGCGCAUAACUAAACUGAACCCUAAAAGCAAGUACCAGGCAUAUCGUAAAAUUGGUGCACCUGAGAAAAAUCAAGUUGCUACAACAGUCACAACAAGAUAGAAGUCACCUUGUGCAAAUGCGCAUGCUCCAAUGUAUAAUAGCUACCCUAUAACUAAUAAUCUAACUGGCCUCUACCUGUUUCAAGAUCUUAUAAUGCGCAUGGCAUAUCCCAAACUGUCAAUGCGUCACAUGAUGUAGCCAGGUGAUUAUGAUACGAGUCUCGGUCAACCCGUACGUUAAUAUAUAAACUCAACAUGUGACGCAACUGAAAAAUCAGUUUCCUGUAAUAUAUACAUAACCCAUGCGAGACGCCAGUGGAAAGUUUUCUAAAAUUAAAGUGCACCAAGCAAAUAUCGCUCUAGUGCGAAAGUUAGCCAGUGUACUAUCUGGAUCUUACCACAAUCUAUAGAAAACAAGAAGCAUAACUUUCACGUGUAAGCAAGCUAAAUUCCAAUAAGCAAGCAUCAGGCAGACUGCGAACAAGCAGCGUAUCUGCAAAUAAUUAAGAUUCUAUAAUAGUCACAACAAGCUAGAGGCCACCUUCUGCAAAUGUGCAUGCUCCAAUAUACAACAGCGAUAACCAAGAACAGACACAAUGAUAUUCGCAAUGGAAAACAUGCAUGCGAUGUAAUGUUCUAUUGGCUAACUCAAAUGAUGCAUCCUGAUGCUAUCCAACAGUUAAUUUAUCCUGCUACCCAAGGAUCUACAAUGCGCGUGGCAUAUGUAA